rnacentral:lncRNA from 1 species
GAGAAUGAAAAGUUUAGAAAAAAUGGUUGGGUGACAACUACCAUGAAAUUGUUGGGAAGAAUUAGUUGACAGAAGAGAAAAUAAAUAGACGUUAAGUCAAUGACUUAUACCUUCAUUAACAUUGACGGAUUACAACUCUCUCUAGCCUAUAAAAAACAAAAAUACUACUACUACCUCCUCUCCUUAAUAUAAAAUGAGUUUAAAGAUGAUAAACAGAUCCAACCGUCCCGAACUGAACCCAUAAAAAUAUAAUAGAGAUUCAAAAAAAUUAAUAAACAUGUACCGGUGUUGCUCGAAGAGAUUGGAAAGAAAAGGAACG